UACGUAUGGAGCAAGCGUUAUCCGGAUUUACUGGGUGUAAAGGGAGCGCAGGCGGCAUGAUAAGUCUGAUGUGAAAGAUCGGGGCCCAACCCCGGGACUGCAUUGGAAACUGUGAUGCUGGAGUGUCGGAGGGGUAAGCGGAAUUCCUGGUGUAGCGGUGAAAUGCGUAGAUAUCAGGAGUAACACCGGUGGCGAAGGCGGCUUACUGGACGACAACUGACGCUGAGGCUCGAAAGCGUGGGGAGCAAAC
rnacentral:rRNA from 1 species